UUACUGAUAUUGAAGUCUUCUCCUCUUGUUUUUUUUUUCCCAAAAAGGAGGAUAGACCCCCGCCCUCUGCCUUGAUCGAUGCACCGUUCACACAGCCAUGAAACUGUGUUAAUAUACGUUUGUUUAUCUCACCCUGAUUUUACCAUGAAUCAAAUGUGAGGUUUCUUCUUUUCUAUAUGUUGCUUCAUUGCUAUCCCUUGUCAAAAGGUGUCUUGCAUCUCAGAUCAUUUAACUUGUCCUUUGCAAGAGAAGCCCUACAACAGGGAUGGUGGUGUUAUAAUAGCAACCUCAUUUGAAGUCAUAUCAACUUUGAGGAUGGUUGUCAAGACAAGUACCCUUUGGAAGGAUGUACAAACCUACCGACAGCUACCCACACUUAGCGGACCUCGGUGCCGCUGUUUUUGGUGCCAACUCGAGGAAUUGGAUGCCAAGGGGUACAAAUCUGCCCAGAGGAGUCUGGGCACAACAACGAAACAGCGAAACAAGGCCGAAAGAACAGGAAAGAAAAGGCAGGCGAAAAAAUACAGAAGAGAGGAAAAAGAGGUAAAAACUUCAGAGAAACAAAACUAACUGGCACAGAAAUCUGCGUACUGAAGCACCGGGAAAGGUCCUUGGCAUUGCAACAAGUGAAUUAGCUGACGACUUUUGAACGCUCGGGCACACAUCUGUCGCAAAACGUUAGCGAGCAGGAUAAAGAGGUAUGGGGAUAAUGGGUCGCCUUGGCAAACACCCCUCUCAAAAUGAAAGGGUGCGCCCGAUGAGCCGUUAAUUUGGACUUGGGCCUGGGCUGAUCCAGUUAGGUGGAAAAUUCCAGUGGGUGGGAAUAUCAACCAGGCAGUCCCAAUUAACCGUGUCAUUGUCCGUUUCCUCUUGAUCGCUAUCUGCACCAUUUCUGAAGCAAAGACACAAAUUUCCACAAUUGACCGACCACUGAUAAAGCCAGAUUGCACGUCAUCUAUAAGAUCAGUAAUGAUUUUCUGCAGACGGUUAGUCAGCACCUUGGAGAUGAUCUUAAUCAGAAUGUGGACCAGAGAGAUAGGCCUGGCAUCUUUCAUUUCCAAGGGGCUGUCAAUCUUUGAAAUGAGGACUAUAAAGCCUUAUUAAUACCUUGCAGACUGAGUCUGUGUUCAGAUAGUUCAGCAAAUAAUCUGAUAAGAUCAUCCUUGAGCAGCAUCAGGUUGGACUUUAUGAACUCAUAGGUGAAUCCAGCCGGUCCAGUUCUUCAGUUAUUUGGAAAUCUUUUAAUGGCCUCUAAUUCAUCCCGUGAGGAAGGAGCUGCCAAAUCAGCAAGGUAUGAUGCCGGUAAAGGUUUCCCAAGUCAACCAUGGGGAGACAGUAAGAUGCCGAGCAGAAGAUGUUUCUGAAAUAUUCAGUGGCAAUGUCGAGUUUGUCAUGGGUAUUACAGUGUUCGAACCCCAUUCUGCACCAAGACCCUGAUUUUUUCUUCUUCUUUACCUGACAAUUGGCAGUAACGUGAAAGAACCAGUGAAUUUUGCCCUUGAUCUCCACAUAGAUGACUGCAAGGUAAUGAGUUGUGCUAUCUUUUGUUGAAACGUGUUUGCGCAACACAAACUCGACAGUAGACAAAGGUCUGGCCUCUUCCACUGCAUUGAUGAAGUCGAGUAAUUUGUUGUUCUUUGAAGUAGUGUGGGCAAGCUCUUCUUACCCCGGGCCCAGCUUCUGAUAGCCGCACGCAAGGUUGAAAAUGGAAUCCGCUCUGGUAGAACCGGUCCAUGAGUGUUGCAUGAUGCUUUUGACCUCCUCAUUAACAAGCCAAUGCUUCUCAAACCGGAAAAGUUUACAAGCUGGUACGUGAAUGUUGAAAUCCACCUGAACUGGAGUGUUAUUAGAUGUGACAUAAGAAAUAGCAGUGGCGUUGGUUUGGGCAAAGGAAAUGUCCCAUUCAGUAUUGAUCAAGACCCUACCUAAUUUCACCAAGGUUGGAGUUCUUCUUUCAUUAGACCAAGUGAAGCGCCAAUUAGAUCGACGUCAGUCCAAGAUUUUGGAUAUAGCUGUUGAAGUCCAUCAUCGCCCAGUUGACAUUUGAAUUGCUUUUCAUGCGGAUAUUCGUACAUGUUGAAGUCCCCAAGCACUAGCCAAGAUUCUGGGGAUGCUGGGGCGAGAUUGCUGAUUGUUUGGAAAAACUGUCGAGCGCAAUCUGCACCGGCGCAUACACUGUGGUUAUGCAGAAAACUGAGUUAUCUGAAACUGGAUUUGAAGCUGGCAGUGAUCAAGAAUCCGUUCAUGAGUAUGAGGUCACAGCUGAGUUUGUUUUUGUUCCAUGCAAGCAGGAUACCUCCACGAGCGCAAUCUGCUGGUUGAAAAUGAAAUUCUCUGACAUUCUUUGGCAGAAAUUGCAUUGCUUUGAAACGACUGAUGUGCGCUAAUUUAGUUUCUUGUAAGCAAAUGAUAUCAGGUACAGCCUUGUUGAUAGUGCUAAGAAUUAGUGCAUUCUUAUAUUUUUGUCGCCCAGCCUUCUGACAUGCCAGUUGAUG